GUUCCAGCUGGCUGAAGGGUCAGUGGGAUGUUGUGUUCCCUCACCCUCAUGACUACUGUGCUUUAGCACGGGGAGCAGGACAGUGUCCAAAUCUCAGGGUUUGGGUGAAAUGUAAGGAUGGAGUUGGGAAGUUGCUGGUCAAAGGAUGUAAAGUUCAGAUGAACAGGGAAUGACUUUGAGUACUGUUACCUGUAGCCUAUGACACUCAGCAGUGUCCUAUAAAUAAUGCAAAGGAACUUUAAGAAAGGGGAAGCAUGUUUGAGGGUUUAAAAAGCUGAGAUGGGUAUUCAAUGCCACAGUAAAUUGAUUUGUAUUUUACAAGCACUGUAAAUGCGAAGGAUAUUGAGAGGUAGCCUGGAAAACUUCAGUGUAUGGGCAUAGAGCUCAUGCGCACGCAUGAGUGGCCAAUGAACGAUACCCGCCCCUCCUCUCUCGGACUUAGCCACGCCCUUCAUUAGUUCCUGAGGGGAUUUUUCAGAACAGAGGUUAUGGCAGUUUCACUAUCCAAUUCCAUUUUUAGCAGGUGUGCUUCCUGACCAAAGAAGUCAGAUGAGUGCAUGAGCAGCCCCUUCAAGGACAAGGCUUGGAUUCCCAGGAGCAGACAAGGAACUCUCUGGGCAUACUCCAAGGAAUCUGGACCUCCUCUGUCACAGGACAUCCACUGUUUAAGCACCACACUACCUCAGGAAGUCCACUGUCUGUGUGUCAACUCCACUGUAACAGGACCACAAGUGUCUCAGCACUUCAACUAUCACAGCACUUCUACUGUUCAUGAGCUCAAGAGUCUCAGCAUCUCAAGUGUCACAGGACCUCCUUUGUCCAAGAACUGGACUGUCCAAGCAACACUACUAUUGCGGGACCUCCACUGUCACAGGACUUCCACUGUAGGAGCACUACAACUGUCUCAGGACACCCACUGUCCUAUAAGCUCCACUAUCUCAGGAAUUCCACUGUCGUAGCACCACCCGUAGCAACUAAAGUGUUUCAGGACAUCAACUGAAGCAAGAUCUGCCAUGAUUCUGCAACUUCACUGCCACAGGAUCUCUACAGUGACAGGAAUACCCCUGUAUCAUCAAUUCCAAUUUUGCAGGACCUCCACUGUAGCAGAACCUUCAAUUGUGCAGCAGCUCCCCUGUAGGGAGAUUGACCUCCAUGAUCUCAGUGCAUCGAUUUUCAAAGGACCUUCACUGUCACAGAACCGGCGCUAUUUCAGUGCCUCCACUGUCGCAGGACCUACCUCUUCACAGGAUCUGCACUGUUGCAACAACUGAAAUUUCAAUUUUUCAAAGUCAUUGCUGUUUAUAUUUGAGGCUGAAUGAAAUGUGAUGCUACUUUUGAAAGCAUAAAAAUUUGUUCUAUAGCUCUUGUGAUAAAUGCCGUGUGUGCUUGGACCAGUAAACUAUGGAAGACUUCAUGAGCUCAUACCACUCUCCACCUCACUUUGUGGAAGCUGGUGUUUUUAGAGUGUGAUAAACUUCAGGUGAAUGGAUGCAUUCAGCUGCACCACGCUCUAGAGUGGGCUACACAGCAGUCAUAUUGAGUCCUUGCUGGGAAGAGAAGAAAUCCAGAGGAGGGAGAAGGCUUGGGUUGGGGGAAGUAUCAUAAAAUACUUAGAAGAUAUAAGAAGGUAAGAAUCAUGGGGAACUGGAAAACAGAGCCAGAGGAAGAAUGAGCACAGAGCAAACUGGGAAGGACAAAGUACAAAGGCACUUGGGUUUUGCCAUCUGCGUGUUCUCUGGACAAUCUCCCUUGGCCUCAUUUCUGGGAGAAAACUCUUCCUCCACCCCCUUGUAAUGUUUCAUUCUUGAAGGAAAGCAGCAACACAACUUCAUCAGUGAAUUUCGCCAUUGGAAUUGGUUCAUCCUUUAAUGCCUCUGGGAAAUCCCCAGCUGGGGAAUGUCCUGCUCUCUGCUGAGAGACAGCAGGAAAGUAGGUUGUCCUCUGUUUUCUCGUUGCUACAGCUCUUCUAAGUGUGGCUGAUUGUUGAGUGAAGACACAGGACACUUCUGGUGUGUAUGUAUGCUUUGUUCGCUGUGGGUGUUGUCGGUAGUGUCCUGAAAAGAAGAAGGGCAUGCCCAAUGGCUCUUUGCUUCCUCUUUGACUAGCCUUAUGAUCAUAGGGAGACACUAGGCCAUUGGAAGAUGAGGAGAACAAUGUGUCUAUGUUGUGUUCACUUCUAUUCCUAUUUAGUCCUAGAGGGAAAUCAGCAAGGGUAGAGAAGGGGACCAUAACUGGACAAAGCUGCUGAGCCUGUGUUGUGCAGCAAUUCCUGUGUAUAACUUGAUGUUACAUUAAGCAAUAGGAUGCCAUGUUCUGUUUAUACCUUUUUGAUGCAAUGAAUCUAUAAUAUUUUACCUCAAACCUCAAUAUAUUACGUUUCUUCCUCUUUUGGAGAAUCUGGCAUGAGAGGGAUCACUUCUUCAUAAGGAUUUGUGAACCUCUUCCAGUUUUCAUUGACCAGGGGUACAUCAUCACCUCUGUGACUGUCAGCCCAUAGUUUGGAUUUACUUUCAGUAAUAGGCUAAGCUGUCUCUUCUGACAACCCACAGUGAGCAGGGUACACACCUGCUACAACCUGUCUUCUGAACUGUUGUAUGUCAACAGAGUCAAAUACAACAGUGAAAUAUAAGCCUACUCCUAAGAUCCAUGUGUUGGUUUUUUGUUUUUUUUUGCACCACCAUAAAGUUGUCCUAGGAAGAGAUCAGGUGCACCAAUAGGGUAAGCACCAUGCUGCCAGUUCAGCAUUUGCCCAGAUUUGUCUUGAGUUGAAGGCCAAAGUCGAUGCUUUUGACUUUUCUUUUCUUCUUUAACAAAAUAUAAUCUGGUUUCAGGUCACUGUGAACUUAUACAGUGCCCAUAGCCAUAGAUAAAGCCUGCUAAUAUUUGCCUAAAUAUUUCCUUGGCUCCUUCCUCCUCUCGGUGGAAAGACUUUCAGAUGUAUUUGUAAAGAUGUAAAUUUUCAACCAGUUUCACGAUAAGUUAUUAGAAUUGUCUCAGACUCAAUUGGAGAAGCAAGAUGAUGUUGGGGUGGAUGAAAAACUUCAUUAUAUUUGCCAUGGUCAAGUUUGGCUGGCACCAUUGCUUCUUCUUUGCAUGCACUUUGAUAACCCCUGUAGCAGAACUUCCUCUGUCCCAGCACCUGAACUAUCCCAAGACCUCCACAGUCAAAGGACCAAUAUUGUGGUAGGGUGUCUGUGGUCAGGCAACUCCUCUGUCUCAGACCCUCCAAAUUGCAAGACCUUUACGGGCACUGGAAGUCACUGUCCCUAAACUUCCACUGUUGGAAUACCUCAACUAUAACAAGGACCUCUACUAUUGUACAAUCCCCUUGUCAUAGCACGUCUAUUGUUACAAAGUAGUCCACUGUCAAAGGACCUCCAGGGUCUCAGCCUCUCCACUGUUACAGGAUCUCUACUGUCUUAGGACCACUGCUGUUGGAGGACCUCCUGUCUCUCAGCAACUUCAGUUUGUUGGAGCUCUCCUAUCAGAGGACAUUUACAUUUGCUGUACUUCCAGUGUCACAGCUGUUAUAAGAACCUCCGUUCUCACAGGACCUCCAGUGCGUCAGUACCUCCACUGUCCAAGGAAUUUUAUAUUGUAGGACCUCUACUGUCCUACAGAAUGUCCACUGUCGCUAGAUUUCCACUGUCACAACACCGCAACCAUUACAAGAACUGCAAUUUUGGCAUGACCUCCAGUGUUCCAGCCCCUCCAGUGUCAUAGGACCUCCACUAUCCCAUGACGUCCACUGUCUCACCAAGGCCAAUUUAAAGGACCUCUACUAUAACAGGUUAUCCACUGUAGCUGGACUUACACUGUUGCAGUACCUCAACUGUUGCAGGACCAACAAGGUUGCAGGACAUAGACCCUCUCAGCAGCUAGAAUUUGCAGGACCUCUACUGGCACACAAAUUCCACAGUUGCUGGAGCUCCACUGUCACUGCAAAUGCACUGUCUCAUGAUAUUCACUGUUGCUGGACCAGUAGUGUGGCAGUACCUCCAUUUUUGCCAAGCCCCUCCACUGACGCAAGACUUCCACUUUUGUAGCACCUUCACUGUCCAAGCAAACCAACUCCUGCAGGAUCUCCAUUGUCUCAGGGCAUUCACUAAUGCCAGCUCUCCAAUGUUGUAGUACUUUUUAAAAAUUCCUCUAAAAAAGGUUACUUUGUUAUUUACAAAGUACAAUUCAGGUGUUGAGAAAAUAAAUAAGGUCAGUUUCCCCCCUAGAUACUAAGUAAAUAAAAUGUUUUUCUAGACACAAUAUAUGUAAAAGCUUGUGAAAAUGUUCAUAUAAAGCUAUUUGUGGUGGCAUGUGCAUUUAAUGCCAGCUCUAAGAAUGCAGAAAGAGGCAGAUUAUGGUUAGUUUCCGGUCCCCUCGCCUGUGUAGUGAAUUCCAGAACAGCCUCAAAUGUAUAGUGAGUCACUGGGCUCCGUUUUGUUCUGAUUGCUUGCUCGUGUUUGCAUUUUUAGGCUAGUCAAAAAUGUAUAUAUAAGAUCACCCUAUUAUACCAAGAGCAGUUAUUAAAUAUAAGAAUUAUAGAUGCAUCCUUUGAAGCUCUUCAUCUUAGAAAGAAUGAGGGAGAGAGAAUGAAUGAGUUGGCUUUGGUUUCAGUUUCAGAUCGUUAUGGCUCAGGUAAACCCAGAGCACAGAGUGAAGUUUUUAUGAGCUUUAUUUUUCUUGGAUAAUUUAUGUAUGCACAUUUCAAACGUUAUCCCCUUCCCAUGCUCUCCCAACCCCCUGCCCCUGCUUCUAUGUGGAUGUCAGCCACUUGAGUCAUGCAGAGUUUGACCACAUGAGACUCACCCCAGGACCUAAAUGCAGUGAGUUCAAGGACUCACAUGCUAUGCUGCGUGGGCUCCUCCUUAUGCCACACCUUGACCCCAUUGCACCCUGGGCCUCCAUACCAUAAGCCAGAGUGCAGAUCCCUGGGCACAGUAGGACACACCUAGGCUAGUUUUCACUCCCAUGGAUGCUCUUGUGGCCUUAUCAGAGCACUGUGACCACAUCCCACAUCUGAACAGCAAGCUAAUCAACAGGAUGCUCUGGGAGUCCAUCAGUUUGCUUCCUCAGUGACCCCAUAAUAGAGGGGGAAGAAAUCCAGGCUUUAGGGAGCUACCACAGCCAUGAUUGUUCUUUUGUCCCAGCCACUCCACCUUUGGCCAAGUUACAGCUCUGCCAGGCCCUGCUAUGUUGUCUUCAAAAUCUUUGUGUGUCAGUGAUACUUGUAUGAACUAUGCUACACGUUGGCCUAGAGGCUGGGCUUUCCUCUUGCAUUUCCAGCAAGACUACAGAGUUCCCGGGGGAGACUCUCAUGGCUCUUCAUGUUCUGACAGCACAGUCUGCAGAUGUCUCUAAGGUAUUGGACAUCAGACCCCACUGAGGAGUGAGAGGCUUUCAGUGGCUUAUAGACCCAGGGCCUGGGCAUGAUGGCCUUUAUUGUGUGUUUGAUAGCAUGUAUGCUCUGCUCCAAGUGUAGACAGACACUCCCCAUGCCUGUAGUCUGUGCUUGGAGUGUGGGUACACACUCUCCAUGCAAACAGCUGUCUACGCACACACAGAUGCCAUUUUCAUGAUUUACACCUGUUAUCUUUGAUGUUUCUUUUAAAAGACAAUCAUAUAAA